GAGAGGGUUAGGAGGGAUGGCCUCCUUCUGCUUUUUCUCUUUCUAUUCUGCUUUGCUGAAUGUGUAUGUGGAGGUUAGUGCUACAACAGCCCCUAUUAGCACAUGGGACACAGUGGAGUGAAGACCUGGAAGAAGUCCCGCUCCUUGAUGAGUUAAUGAGGCCACCAUAUCCUCCCUAUACUGCCUCCUCCAGACGUCAUUUCCAUGUCAGAGCCCGUAAUACUUGUGUGGACCUGCUUUGGAAUGAAUGUACCCAGAAGAGCUCUCAGCUGGUGACUGAUGCAAGCUGAUUCUGCAGAAAUGCUCCAUCCCCUGUGCCCUCAGUCUAUGCACAGUGAAUAUCCUGGCCCCACUUUAGUCUGUGCACAGUGAAUACCCUGGCUGAAUGCACCAGGAGAAUCCACGGCUUUUCUACUUACAGAAUUGCAAAACCUAUUGUUACAGCUCUUUGAAAGUGUAGAAACCAGAGUAUGUAAGUAACUCCAUUUUUAUAAUGAAAACAUUUCCCUCUCUUUGAAUGCACAUGAAAAAUGUUGAACACUUAGCCAAGUGAUGAAAAGGAGAUGUAUUAAAGGUCAUUAGAAUUUUGUUUCAAACUUUGGCAAAAUACAAGACUAUUUCCCAAAUAAAUGAAGGA